AUACUUAUCUGGUGUCAGAUUCCCGGUGGUCAACAUGGCUGGGGUUCCGUGUCGAGGCCUUGCCAUUGCACUGCGGUGGGCUGACACACACCACAACUCCAAAGGGGGGUAGGUGGGGCAUGUAAUUUUUCGUAGUGGGGGUUGGCGUACGCGCCAGCCCCUA